GUCCACCUACGGGGGGCAGCAGUGAGGAAUAUUGGUCAAUGGACGGAAGUCUGAACCAGCCAUGCCGCGUGCAGGAUGACGGCUCUAUGAGUUGUAAACUGCUUUUGUAUUAGGGUAAACACCCCUACGUGUAGGGGCUUGAAAGUAUAAUACGAAUAAGGAUCGGCUAACUCCGUGCCAGCAGCCGCGGUAAUACGGAGGAUGCGAGCGUUAUCCGGAUUUAUUGGGUUUAAAGGGUGCGUAGGCGGGCUGUUAAGUCAGCGGUCAAAUGUCGGGGCUCAACCCCGGCCUGCCGUUGAAACUGG
rnacentral:rRNA from 1 species